AGAAAUUUAGAAGCAAUUUCAAAAUAAUAAUCUCAAACGCUCUUCAGAUGCCCUAAUAUGAGCCAAAGCUCCGUCGUGCUGGAAAUCGCCUCUGGCGGCGGCGGAGGUCCAAGCAGCUCCUUCCUUACCUCAAACAACUCGUCUACACCCCCUCUUCCAUAAUAUACAACUUAUUUCCCUUAAUUCCUAUCCAAAACCCUUAACCGAGUUGAAAACUACAUCAACCCUAAAACAAAAAUUUGAAAUUAAAUCAAAGAGGGGGGAAUUUGAGCCAGCUACCAAAUGGCUUCAAUUCCCCUUACAUGAAAUUACAUUAUGGAAAAUGAAUUAGAGCAAGGAGAUGAAGGAAGCAGAAUACACCAAUCUACAGAGUCGACUGCUGAGGAUCGAAGUUGAUGAGAUUGAAGAGUGGAGAAGGCUAGUAGAUGAGUCUGGGUUGGUGUAUCUUAAUGAAUUGAACAAGAUUUGGCAAAGCUUUAUGGUCAAUUUGGCAAGGUUAUCAAGUGGCUAGAUAUGGCAUGGACUGGGCAUAAAGAUACACUUGAAGGCUUUUGGAGGAGUAUUGAAUGGCUUGCAACUUAAUGAAAGAGUAUGAUUAGGGUUUAGGAGAAGGUCUUGGUUGACUUUUGUCAAAUAUUGACCAAAAAGUCAAUAGUUGACCAAAUUCAACUUUAGGUCAACAAUGUGUAUUUUGUGUAAACUUUUGAUUUUUGACCCUUUUUGUAGUGAAAUUGAUGAUUUGGUAAUGAAGGGGCCCAUUGAAUA